ACACAGCUCUCCGGUUCUGACGGUGAAAGUUCGAGGACGACUGAAGGUGAUUGCAUUGGCAUCUGCAGUGGGUGUUUCUGUCGGAUUGAUCUCACUGACCGUGGUUGUCAUGAUCAGUAAAAACAUGCAUCGCGUGGACACUGAAAAUCUUGAGGAAGAAAAACAGUGUUCACCAAUAGUUGACUUGCCAGUGGACAAGACUCUGUUUAGUGAAUCAACUUCAGAGACGUUUCUCCUCAAGGGCACAAAAAUGUCAGACA